rnacentral:rRNA from 1 species
GGGCCCGCACAAGCGGUGGAGUAUGUGGUUUAAUUCGAUGCAACGCGAAGAACCUUACCAGGGUUUGACAUCCUGCGAAUCUCUUGGAAACAGGAGAGUGCCUUCGGGAACGCAGUGACAGGUGGUGCAUGGCUGUCGUCAGCUCGUGUCGUGAGAUGUUGGGUUAAGUCCCGCAACGAGCGCAACCCACGUCUUUAGUUGCCAGCAUUUAGUUGGGCACUCUAGAGAGACUGCCGGUGAUAAACCGGAGGAAGGUGUGGAUGACGUCAAGUCAUCAUGCCCCUUACAUCCUGGGCUACACACGUACUACAAUGGUAACUACAACAGGAAGCAAGACAGCGAUGUUAAGCAAAUCCUAAAAAGUUACCUCAGUUCGGAUUGCACUCUGCAACUCGAGUGCAUGAAGCUGGAAUUACUAGUAAUCG